GGCCCGGUUUUGACCGUGAAGGUAGCUAACAAUUGUUUUUUAAUAGAAGGACCGUAUGAAAGGCAUUACGAGAGUUUAACUGUCUUUAUUUUCCAAUCAAUGAAAUUAAUCUCCUCGUGCAGAAGCGAGGAUGUUAACAUAAGACGAGAAGACCCUAUGGAGCUUUAAACACUUAAGUUAUCUUGAAAAUAAAUACGCGUCCUCGGAUAUAAAUACUUAAAAAAGUCUUAACUUAACUUGUUUUUGGUUGGGGUGACCAAGGAGAAAAACAAAACCUCCUUAUCGAAUGUGUGAUUAAUCACUCAAAAAUUAGAAUUACUAUUCUAAUCAAUAGAAAAUCUAACGAACAAUGACCCAGGGAACUCCUCCCUGAUCAAUGAACCAAGUUACCCUAGGGAUAACAGCGCAAUCCUUUCCAAGAGCCCCCAUUACGGAAAGGGUUUACGACUCGAUGUU
rnacentral:rRNA from 1 species